AGAACUUAGUAAACACACUCUGGUUUCAAGUAUCAGUACUACAUAGACUUUAUGUCCUCUGUAUUUUGGAAACGUCUUAUCGUCAUUAUUUUGUCCACCAUGACCUUGUUUCUGAUUGGAGCUGCAGCAGUGAUGCCUUCACUGACCCCUCUUUGUGUUGUGUUUCAGGCACAGAGUUUGUGCGUCCGGUCGUCGGUUAUUUCUGUAAUUUGUGUCAGCUGAUCUACGCUGACGAGGACGAAGCCAAACAGCAGCACUGCAGCAGCCUGGAGCACUACAGGAAAUAUCAGGAAAAGACGGGGAAAGAUCCGUGGGCGAGCUGAAUCAACUUCAUGUAACUUAAAUCAAAAUGUAACUUGUGGUUUUAUCUUCUAAUUUAUCCCAAAAGUUUAUUGGAAUACUUGUUCGUGUCAGAUGUGACCUCUGUUGGUUUAACUUUACUGUUCUAGUGAAGAUUCAGUAUUACUCGAGGAACCUGCAGCAAGGUUUGAAACCCUGAUGUCAUUUUUAGUUUCUUUAUGUUGGAAAACGAGGCGCCACGUGUUCUGUAAAGGCUAGAAGUUAAUAUUUAAGUUAUUUAAAUAAUAAGUUCCUUCUUGUUAAUUGUUUGUUUAAAAACUGUAAAUAAACAGUUUAAUAAUUCACAACAAA